ACAAAUGAAUACAUAGUAAAGAAAGCAAUACAACCAUCAUAUAUAUAAUUGAAAGUUUACAUUUGUCAAGAGUUACAUGUUCAAAACCAAUUACAAUAUGAUGUCAAAAUACGAGAUUAAACUGGCGCCGCAGCAUCCCUUCAUCAAAAGCGUAAUGAAUACCUGAAAUUACUGAUUUCCUGGGACAUACAAGUAAUUUUGAAAGAGUAGAUCAGCAUUUAAGCUGGUGAGUUUCAUAAGUAUUUAAAUGACAAUGUUUGAAUGAAAUGAAAUGUUUUGUCUUUGUUUGUUUGUGUUUAGAAAAUCCUAUAUUUUCUACUAGUAUAAUAGUAGCCUUCACUCAAGACCAAUGUUUGAAUGAAAUGAAAUGUUUUGUCUUUGUUUGUUUGUGUUUAGAAAAUCCUAUAUUUUCUACUAGUAUAAUAGUAGCCUUCACUCAAGACCAAUGUUUGUUUGAAAUGAAAUGUUUUGUCUUUGUUUGUUUGUGUUUAGAAAAUCCUAUAUUUUCUACUAGUAUAAUAGUAGCCUUCACUCAAGACCAAUGUUUGUUUCUAAAAUGUAUGUAAGUGUAAAAUAACCAAUGAGUUUGAAAACCUUGUAAAUCAAUGCAUUUUUAAUACCCCUUGUGAGUUUUAUAACCAUACUAUUGACUCGGAAUGCCUAUACACAACGUUCUUCAGGCGUUGGAAUGUUAUGACGUUUGUCACCCCAAACGGUGGACUGCAGCUAACAGUCA
rnacentral:lncRNA from 1 species